UUCUAAGGGCGUUGAAGCAUGAUCGCAAGGACAUGUGGAGCGCUUAGAAGUGAGAAUGCCGGUGUGAGUAGCGAAAGACGGGUGAGAAUCCCGUCCACCGAUUGACUAAGGUUUCCAGAGGAAGGCUCGUCCGCUCUGGGUUAGUCGGGUCCUAAGCUGAGGCCGACAGGCGUAGGCGAUGGAUAACAGGUUGAUAUUCCUGUACCACCAUUAUUCGUUUUAAGCGAUGGGGGGACGCAGUAGGAUAGGCGAAGCGUGCUGUUGGAGUGCACGUCCAAGCAGUGAGAUUGAGUGUUAGGCAAAUCCGGCACUCUUAAGAUUGAGCUGUGAUGGGGAGAGGAACUUGUUCCUCGAGUCGUUGAUUUCACACUGCCGAGAAAAGCCUCUAGCUAGAAUAACGGUGCCCGUACCGCAAACCGACACAGGUAGUCAAGAUGAGAAUUCUAAGGUGAGCGAGCGAACUCUCGUUAAGGAACUCGGCAAAAUGACCCCGUAACUUCGGGAGAAGGGGUGCUCUUUGAGGUUCACGCUUCGAAGAGCCGCAGUGAAUAGGCCCAAGCGACUGUUUAUCAAAAACACAGGUCUCUGCUAAACCGUAAGGUGACGUAUAGGGGCUGACGCCUGCCCGGUGCUGGAA
rnacentral:rRNA from 1 species